UACAGAGGGCCCAAGCGUUGUUCGGAUUCAUUGGGCGUAAAGGGUGCGUAGGCGGCGCGGUAAGUCGGGUGUGAAAUCUCGGAGCUUAACUCCGAAACUGCAUUCGAUACUGCCGUGCUUGAGGACCGGAGAGGAGACUGGAAUUUACGGUGUAGCGGUGAAAUGCGUAGAUAUCGUAAGGAAGACCAGUGGCGAAGGCGGGUCUCUGGACAGUUCCUGACGCUGAGGCACGAAGGCCAGGGGAGCAAACGGG
rnacentral:rRNA from 1 species